UACGGAGGGAGCUAGCGUUGUUCGGAAUUACUGGGCGUAAAGCGCGCGUAGGCGGUUUUUCAAGUCAGUGGUGAAAGCCCGGGGCUCAACCCCGGAAUAGCCUUUGAAACUGGAAAGCUAGAAUCUUGGAGAGGUCAGUGGAAUUCCGAGUGUAGAGGUGAAAUUCGUAGAUAUUCGGAAGAACACCAGUGGCGAAGGCGACUGACUGGACAAGUAUUGACGCUGAUGGACGAAAGCGUGGGUAGCGAACAGG
rnacentral:rRNA from 1 species